ensembl:snRNA C35D6.7 ncRNA
AAUCUCUUUCUUACUGUAACAAAACCCUUGUACAUAUUUAUUCUCAAAUUGACAGCUAUUUGGAAACUUUCAGCCGUCCAAUCGCAACGACACUUGUUUUUUGCGGUUUUUCCGGCUUUCCG